rfam:Gordonibacter pamelaeae 7-10-1-b draft genome.
CGAGCGGGCCAGACGAUCGCGCACCUCGGUGUGAGGAAAGUCCGGGCUCCACAGGGCAGGAUGCCAGCUAACGGCUGGGCGGGGCGACCCGACGGAUUAGUGCCACAGAAAAGGAAACUCCCCCGCGAACACGCGCUUCGGCGCGCGGCAACGGGAGAAAAGCUGAAACGGUGCGGUAAGAGCGCACCAGCGCGCCGGCAACGGCGCGGCUUGGAAAACCCCAUCCGGAGCAAGCGCAAAUAGGAACGCGACACGGUGGCCCGCCGUACGUUCGGGUUGCGUGCUUGAGGCGUCUGGCGACAGGCGUUCGAGAUAAAUGGUCGUCCAACGACAGAACCCGGCUUAUCGGCCCGCUCGCGCC